UACGGGGGGGGCUAGCGUUGUUCGGAAUUACUGGGCGUAAAGGGCGUGUAGGCGGCGGAUUUAGUUAGGCGUGAAAGCCCCGGGCUCAACCUGGGAACUGCGCUUAAUACUGGUCUGCUAGAGUCCGGGAGAGGCGAGUGGAAUAUCCAGUGUAGAGGUGAAAUUCGUAGAUAUUGGAUGGAACACCAGUGGCGAAGGCGGCUCGCUGGACCGGAACUGACGCUGAGGCGCGAAAGCGUGGGGAGCAAACAGG
rnacentral:rRNA from 1 species